UACGAAGGGGGCUAGCGUUGCUCGGAAUCACUGGGCGUAAAGGGUGCGUAGGCGGGUCUUUAAGUCAGGGGUGAAAUCCUGGAGCUCAACUCCAGAACUGCCUUUGAUACUGGGGAUCUUGAGUCCGGGAGAGGUGAGUGGAACUGCGAGUGUAGAGGUGAAAUUCGUAGAUAUUCGCAAGAACACCAGUGGCGAAGGCGGCUCACUGGCCCAUUACUGACGCUGAGGCACGAAAGCGUGGGGAGCAAACAGG
rnacentral:rRNA from 1 species